rnacentral:rRNA from 1 species
GCGAACGGGUGAGUAACACGUGAGUAACCUGCCCUUGACUUCGGGAUAACUCCGGGAAACCGGGGCUAAUACCGGAUAUGAGCCACCCUCGCAUGGGGGUGGUUGGAAAGUUUUUCGGUCAGGGAUGGGCUCGCGGCCUAUCAGCUUGUUGGUGGGGUGAUGGCCUACCAAGGCGACGACGGGUAGCCGGCCUGAGAGGGCGACCGGCCACACUGGGACUGAGACACGGCCCAGACUCCUACGGGAGGCAGCAGUGGGGAAUAUUGCACAAUGGGCGCAAGCCUGAUGCAGCGACGCCGCGUGAGGGAUGAAGGCCUUCGGGUUGUAAACCUCUUUCAGCAGGGAAGAAGCGCAAGUGACGGUACCUGCAGAAGAAGCGCCGGCUAACUACGUGCCAGCAGCCGCGGUAAUACGUAGGGCGCAAGCGUUGUCCGGAAUUAUUGGGCGUAAAGAGCUCGUAGGCGGUUUGUCGCGUCUGGUGUGAAAACUCGAGGCUCAACCUCGAGCUUGCAUCGGGUACGGGCAGACUAGAGUGCGGUAGGGGAGACUGGAAUUCCUGGUGUAGCGGUGGAAUGCGCAGAUAUCAGGAGGAACACCGAUGGCGAAGGCAGGUCUCUGGGCCGCAACUGACGCUGAGGAGCGAAAGCAUGGGGAGCGAACAGGAUUAGAUAC